CAGUCGCCGCGGUAAUACGGAGGGUGCAAGCGUUAAUCGGAAUUACUGGGCGUAAAGCGCACGCAGGCGGUUUGUUAAGUCAGAUGUGAAAUCCCCGAGCUUAACCUGGGAACUGCAUUUGAAACUGGCAAGCUAGAGUCUUGUAGAGGGGGGUAGAAUUCCAGGUGUAGCGGUGAAAUGCGUAGAGAUCUGGAGGAAUACCGGUGGCGAAGGCGGCCCCCUGGACAAAGACUGACGCUCAGGUGCGAAAGCGUGGGGAGCAAACAGGAUUAGAUACCCCUGUAGUCCCUGUCUCUUAUAC
rnacentral:rRNA from 1 species